GAUGAACGCUGGCGGCGUGCCUAAUACAUGCAAGUCGAGCGAACGGACGAGAAGCUUGCUUCUCUGAUGUUAGCGGCGGACGGGUGAGUAACACGUGGAUAACCUACCUAUAAGACUGGGAUAACUUCGGGAAACCGGAGCUAAUACCGGAUAAUAUUUUGAACCGCAUGGUUCAAAAGUGAAAGACGGUCUUGCUGUCACUUAUAGAUGGAUCCGCGCUGCAUUAGCUAGUUGGUAAGGUAACGGCUUACCAAGGCAACGAUGCAUAGCCGACCUGAGAGGGUGAUCGGCCACACUGGAACUGAGACACGGUCCAGACUCCUACGGGAGGCAGCAGUAGGGAAUCUUCCUCAAUGGGCGAAAGCCUGACGGAGCAACGCCGCGUGAGUGAUGAAGGUCUUCGGAUCGUAAAACUCUGUUAUUAGGGAAGAACAUAUGUGUAACUUACUGUGCACAUCUUGACGGUACCUAAUCAGAAAGCCACGGCUAACUACGUG
rnacentral:rRNA from 1 species